ensembl:lncRNA
AGCUGAUGCAUUCCAGGCAUUGCUGGGAUGCAUUCCGCUUCCCCUCUUUCCCUCCAGCCCCUGGGCUGAGCCAUAUAUAUAGCCAGCCUCCCAGUGUGCACUCCUCAAACUCUUGUCCUCUCUCCCAGAGCCUGCCCAGGACUGCGUUUGCCAGGACCACCAGCCACUCCUGAUUCUGGCUCAGAUGAGGACCUGCUACCCUGCUAAGAUGGCUUUCCAGCUUUCCUUCUAUUGAAAACUGCGCAAAACUCUUCAAACUCUGUGCCCUGAGGAAACAGAGCAAAGUUUUGUAACUAAUGCUUCAUCUGGUGAUAAUUGAAAGUGAUGGCUGGGGGGCUAAUUCAUGCCAUUUGAGAUGCCAGGGCACCAUAUCCAAGGUAUAAAAAAUGGGAGAAGAAACAAUAACAUCAAAAGAAAUUGAAAGUUUACAUCUAAGAUUCAGCAAGGAAUAGAGGAGGAGUACUGAUCAGAAAGAACUGCAUAGCUGUGUGGCCAAGAGUUUGGCUUCCCAGAGGACAGACUCUGGCCUACCAGGCUAGAACUUUCUGUGAGACCUUGUGCUAAUGGUUUAACUUACAGAACCUCAGUCUACUCACCUGUAGCUGGGUGCCCGCCUACAUGUUAGCAUUGUCAGCAUUAAGUUGACCAAUGAGGAUUUUGCCAGCAGAAGAAUGGCUUCUCUAGUCGCCUUAAUUUUUGUUUUGACAAAACUUUGCUAUCGUUCAAAAUGGGCCUCGAGACCUGUAUAAAUGGAUGCGGUCAGAAACAGAUUCCCAAUUCUAAGUGGCCAAUGAAAAGGAAUAAAAGAAAUAUGAGCUAUGCCUAUGGGAAUCUACAUGUUAGCACUUGGAAAAUGACUACAGUGAAUAUCACAUAAAAACACAAUUUACAAAAGAUAAUUAUGGAGUCCACAUGAAACUCUUACAUAUGAAUCUUCUCCCUGAAUAAUCAAAGAUAAGUACCUUACUUACAGCUGUAAUCUAAAAUAGGAUUUUCAUAGUAGAAACUAGGUUACACCAACAUUGGUGCAUUAUACUGUUUUAAAUAAAUGUAUAAUUUAUUUUCAACUUAUCAGGUCUCUUACAUUAUAAACUUUACUGGAAAUCUAACACAGGCAGGAUAGUAAUGAUUCUUAGUGUUGGAAGAACUUUCAUAUGUUAGAAGAAAGAAGGUGGUAGGCCAUGUGUCAGGGUGAUAUUUUAAAUUCUAUUUUUAAAGGCUGGCCCAAAACUGUGUGAGAAGGGAGCAAUGGGGGACAUUUGAGAAAGGGAAUGAAAACUGGAAUACUUUCUACAAAACUGGAAUACAUUCUCCAAAGUAUUAUUCCUUUACUCUUAGUAUCCCAAGACUCUGGCUUCUUCUACCAGUAGAUUUGGUGUAUCAGUGAGGGAUGCAUUUGGCUACAAGUAACAGAAAACUCCAAAAGCAAUGUCUUCAAC